rnacentral:rRNA from 12 species
AAAAAAAAAACAAAUUAAAAAUCAACUAAUUCAAAUUGGUCUCGCAUCCUCUUUGGAAGAGAGACAUGUCAACAUUGACAUAGAGAGUUUUCUGUUCAUUGUUCUUCUCAUUUUAGUUGU